CGCUCGAGGGAUCCGGUCUCUGAGGCCAGUACGCCGCCCCCGGGCGACGAUGGCCAGGUCCCGCGCGAUGGUCGCUCGUGAACCAGGUCAGGUCCGGGAGGAAGCAGCCUUAAGCGAUCCCGACCAUGCGCCGCGGGGAAGCCUGGCCGGAGCCCGGGGACGGCGGGAACGCUCAGAGGCCGAUCUCGACAGGGGGUGCACGG
rnacentral:SRP_RNA from 1 species